GUGUCAGCCGCCGCGGUAAUACGAAGGGGGCUAGCGUUGCUCGGAAUCACUGGGCGUAAAGGGCGCGUAGGCGGCUGAUUUAGUCGAGGGUGAAAGCCCGUGGCUCAACCACGGAAUGGCCUUCGAUACUGGUUGGCUUGAGACCGGAAGAGGACAGCGGAACUGCGAGUGUAGAGGUGAAAUUCGUAGAUAUUCGCAAGAACACCAGUGGCGAAGGCGGCUGUCUGGUCCGGUUCUGACGCUGAGGCGCGAAAGCGUGGGGAGCAAACAGGAUUAGAUACCCUGGUAGUCCACGCUGUAAACGAUGAAUGCUAGCCGUUGGGGUGCAUGCACCUCAGUGGCGCCGCUAACGCAUUAAGCAUUCCGCCUGGGGAGUACGGUCGCAAGAUUAAAACUUAAAGGAAUUGGCGG
rnacentral:rRNA from 1 species